rnacentral:lncRNA from 1 species
UGUUUGGCCCGACUGAUUGUUGGCUUAGGGGAGUAAUUUGUCUGUACAGGGAGAAUAAAGUCACCGGAUCUUUCCCUGCUCGGUGCAGCCUGAGUCCCCAGACCUUAGGACUAUCCCAAGUAGUUCUUUUUCCAGCAUCUGUGAACCUUAGGAUGAGAGGGUUGCAUUUUCCUCCGGCACUAUCAUAACAGGGUCCGCAGGCUCUUUGCCCACAUCUCCAUGGUCCUUUUCCUGCGUACCCUGGGAUCUCCCUCCGUUUGAGGGUGAUGAAAUCCCAAGAGGAAGAGGGUUUCCAGUAAGCCUCCCCUGUGGUUUCACAUCCCCAGCUUGCACAGUACCCUUCCUGUGGCCCCCCGCAGCCAUGAGUUGGUUUAUGGCUGGGGCAAACAUAAAAAUCCUUGUUUCUUGUUCCUCUCCUUCCCCCAGGGUGGUGGCAUCCGUACCCUGGGAAUGGUUCCUGGUCAGAGGGAUCCCAAUCAGACCCUACUAAGUCACAUAGGUCGACAUAGAGAGGAGGGAACCCAUCAUGUAGAGUAGAACUGCUCACCCCAUGCCAAUGGAAAGCUGGAGGCAGUGAAAUGGGUGAGUG